rnacentral:rRNA from 1 species
AUUGAACGCUGGCGGCAGGCCUAACACAUGCAAGUCGAGCGGAUGAAGGGAGCUUGCUCCUGGAUUCAGCGGCGGACGGGUGAGUAAUGCCUAGGAAUCUGCCUGGUAGUGGGGGAUAACGUCCGGAAACGGGCGCUAAUACCGCAUACGUCCUGAGGGAGAAAGUGGGGGAUCUUCGGACCUCACGCUAUCAGAUGAGCCUAGGUCGGAUUAGCUAGUUGGUGGGGUAAAGGCCUACCAAGGCGACGAUCCGUAACUGGUCUGAGAGGAUGGUCAGUCACACUGGAACUGAGACACGGUCCAGACUCCUACGGGAGGCAGCAGUGGGGAAUAUUGGACAAUAGGCGAAAGCCUGAUCCAGCCAUGCCGCGUGUGUGAAGAAGGUCUUCGGAUUGUAAAGCACUUUAAGUUGGGAGGAAGGGCAGUAAGUUAAUACCUUGCUGUUUUGACGUUACCAGCAGAAUAAGCACCGGCUAACUUCGUG